UAUCUCCUAAGAACCCAAAUCGUAAGCCUAAUCAGACCGGCGCCCCCUCUUCACCCCCAUUUCACCGCCAGAUCACGCCCAAACCACCGAAAAUCUCCCCCAAAACAUCACAUGGUCCCCCCUCAUGGUCCCCUCCUCUCAUAUUCCUUCCACAUAAUUCGAAUCUACAACGACCUCUGCCAACAAGAAUGUUCUCGUUCCUUUUCAUCCGGUCUUGAGAAUGAUUUUUGGAUUAAUGGGAGCUAUGGAUUGAUUAUGAAUCAAUCUUGGCCUUCCAUUUAUCCCAAAAUCGUUCGCAAAAGAAAAUCAGAGGGCUUUGAUUUUUUUAAUAUAAUUUUUGGAUUUUUGGAGGUUUUUUAGGGGAUUUCUUGCAAAGGAAGGGGAGAAGCUUUGAGGCAGGGUUAGGAGUUUUCUUCCUGUUCUUAUAUUUCUAGCAGAAGAAUCAUAAAAAAAUUAUGUUUUUCAUCUUUUGGUGGCCAUUUUUUUCCAAAAAACAGACACAUAUAUAUAAAAAAACAUUUUUGUUUGUGUUAGUUAGUCUUUAAAAUUUCAAAAAAAAAAGAAAAAAAUUCGUCUCCUUCAGUUUUAGAUUUCCACUGUUCGCUUCUGAAAGUGUAGUUAGAUUGAAUCCUGGAUUUCGGAUCGAAGAUUGGAGUCGCGUGGAGUUGAGUUGAGUCGAGAUGCCGAUUUGAGUCUUUGAGGUUUGUCGGAGUUCAAUUCAGUGAGUCACGGUUCCUGCCGUUGCAUCGCUUGUUCAUUUCAAAGCGUAGUCGGAAAGUUAACUUGUAAUCGCUUACAAGCGAAUUUAAUCGAAAUUAAUUUCCUUCCUCAUUCUGUUUGCUUUACUGUUUUUUGGUGAUGAAUUAAGCAUGACAAAAUCCUAGGAUAAGCAAUCCGAACUAGUUUGAAUUUCUUAGAUGCUUCAGUUCGAGCGCUAAUAGGAACAAAUUGUCGGAUUUUGAUUGAGAAGAGUUUGGUUGAAUUCUGUUGGUAUGUGCAUCUGCUCUGUUUCGUUUGUGUGUUCAAGUAUUGUAUCAUCUUAGACUUGACUGAUUCCAAUAUGCUUGACUGAAGUCGGAAUGGGCUGGUAGUUGUAUGGAUUAUUGAAGUGUCAUAUUACUGUUAGUUGCAAUUCGAUUAGUCCCUCUGAUGUUUGCAAAGUUUCCCUGUUAGUAUCUGUUGGCCUGUUAACUUAAAACUAUUCUUACUUGUUGGAACUCGGGGUCUUGUCAUAGGGUUUGCUUGACUUCAAACAUGACAAUGCGAGCAUGAUGCAUUUCUUUUCGAGUUGGUAUUAGUUUCCAUUUGAAUGGGCUCUCAUGAGAAGAAUGCUGGAGUCCUCUAUUCGUAUUUGAUUAGCUUGAGGGAUAGCUAAACUUC
rnacentral:lncRNA from 1 species